rnacentral:tRNA from 1 species
GCCUGGAUGGCUCAGUCGGUUAAGUGUCUGACUUCGGCUCAGGUCAUGAUCUCACAGUUUGUGGGUUCCAGCCCCACAUCAGGCU